UGCUUUCCGCAACCAAUCAGAUUGAUUUCGGGCCACUACUUUAUUUGCAUCGGGUGAACACCAUGUGGCCAAUGGGAAACCUCUAGGAUGUAUUUGGACCCCAGAAGAUUCUGCAGCUGGGCUCUUGAGCCCCUAUGAUCGGGCCACUCCCAUCCUGCAGAGCGUACUUUCAUUUUCAGUAAAUCUCUGCUUUUGUUGCUUCAUUCUUUCCUUGCUUUGUUUGCGUGUUUUGUCCAACUCUGUUCAAAAUGCCAAGAACCUGGACAACCUCCACUGGUAACAGCUUCUCUGCCUCGAAGUCCAUCAGGGAGCAGGUGGCCACAUAAAUGAUCAUGAUAUGGAGUCUGCAUGUCAUCUGGAGUUACUCCAGCCAGGCAGGCCUUCCGAUUCAGUGGGAUGGGGUUUCAUCAUGCUGCCCAGGCUGGCCUUGAGCUCCUGGACUUAAGUGAUCCUCUCACCUUGGCCUCCCAAAGUGCUGGAAUUAAAGGUGUGCAUCAUCGUGACCAGCCCAGUAUCAGAAUAUACGCUCAAGGGGGCAGGGACUUCAUUCCCAGAGCCUACCAGGACCUGCAUACGGAGGCACUCGAGGUGUUCGUUGAUUGAAUGAAAAACAUUCCCUGCACACCUCUGUUGUGCAACACGCACUGUGCCAGGGCGUGGACGAAAGCUCAGCUGCCCAGGCCAUCGACUAUUUCUGAGCAUUUCCACUCUCACGUUGUACACCCCUCAUUUCUCUCUUCCUAGAGGCGAGUCCCUCCCUGCCUGAGAGCAGGAAUCAUCUUCCUUCCUCUCUCCUGGAGUCUGCCCUGACUUGGUGUCCCAAGACAGGGACUGGGUUCUCUUUGAGCCCUGGAGGAAUGUGAACUGAGCCGAUGAGAUGUCUCCUGUCUACUUGGAGGAAAGGGACCAGGACACACAGAGGCGCAGGGGGCUGAACGCUGGGUUCCAGCCCCACGGACUCAUUCGGAGCCACGCGGUGCCGGGACUUUGCAGAGGAAAGGGGCGCAGGAUGUGCUUUGGGGAUAGAAUUCCACCUUUGCACCCGGCUCAGCACCUGUCCUGUCCCCCGGAGAUUCCCUGAGGCCACCUGGAUCGGAGAGGAGAUGCUGUUGAUCAUUUCCUGUCCCCUGAGGCUGUGAUCCCAGGUCGACCGGACCGGUAGCCCGGCAGCGCCCCCUGGUGGCCGGCGACGCUCAGGCAGCGCUGGGAAUCGCCGCCCAGGCCAAGGACCAGAACCAUGAGCAGGAGCAGGUGCAGGACCAGGGCCAGCGUCAGGGCCAGGGCCAGGGCGGGAGGGAGAUUUAUCCCAGUGUACACCUCUAACUUAUCCUUCCUACACAAGGCAGCAUUCCGGCUUCUUUCCCUUUUCUGUAUAUUUCAAAAGUAAUGGACAUUGAGCAUAAAAAUUACAUGUAAACAAAAAGACGCCCCCAGUCAAAGCUGUGAUACUGUGUCCUGGCAGGACCAGCCAGGCCUGGGUCUCAAUUCCAGACCUACCAUCUACCAGAUGACUGAAUCUGAACAAGUCGCCUAACUCUCUGAGCCACAGUUUCUGCAUCUGCAGUCUGGGAAUGGUGUGCUCUCCAUUGCUGGGUUGUGUAAAGAUGACCUAGGUACCCAGUACACAGGAGAGCUCUGAUUGAUGGGGACAAUUCUUAUUAGACACAAAGGAGAAUGUGUUAAAUGCCCUUCAGUUUCUGCCCAGGUGUUCCCAGGGGGUGAGACAUGUUCCCAAAGAUAUAACUGCCUGCCUGAUCGCCCAAGCAGAGACUUUCUGGCAGCCAGAGUUGGUCACAGGGCUAAUUCUGGUCCAUGGAAUGUGACUGGAAAUGAUGUGUACAACUUCCGAGUCACGCCCUGCAAAGGAGGUUGUCUCCCCCCCCCCCCCCCCUUCUGCUUUUCCAUCCUCCUGCUGGCUGGGAAGUGGAAGAUCCUGGAUCAGCUGCCCCGGAGAAAGAAAAGGAAGCCACAUGUUGAGGAUGGCAGAGUCUCCCUGACACCCCAGAACCACCGACAUCUGAAGAAAUAAAUAUUCCUAAGCCAACGUAUCUCUGGAUCUCUUUGUUACAUCAACUUAGAUAUAAUCAUGGCAUUUCAAGUGUACACCCAGGAGUCUUGGUAUUCAUUCUGAACACCAGCUGACAGAGCUUCUGCCUUUAGUGCCACUUGUUACCUUUAGUGUCUCCCCCCACCCCACCCCACCAUACACAAAAAAGCCCCUACAAGGGCUGGACCCACGGAACCCUAGGGAUGGCUUAACUCCAGCCUGAUCGUCCCCUCCCUGAGGUCGCACUGAGGCUGGUAGCCCCACCACCUGGAUCAUCCCUUCCCUGAUAUCCCACUGAGACUUGUCGCCCCACCACCUCUCCCUGCUCCUCUCCCCGUUCUGUGGCUUCAGUGUGCCAGGGGCUGAUUAAGGGUAGUCCAAGGUGUCGGACAGUUAGUACAAUGGUUCUUCAGUGACUGAACAACUGCAGGUUGAACUGACAAUGAACAAGACGCACACUGGGGCUCCUUUUCCCCAGUCAGGAGGGACAGAGUAGCUCAAAUCUAUGUUUUGGGAGUCUGGAACCUCUAUUCCUUCCUGGUACUCCCCAGUUUAGGACAUUUUGAUAAAAGCUGGUUUAUAGAAAGCAAAGAGCAAGCCCCGGUCCCAGGUAGGGCCUCCCACCUCCCCUAGUAUCAGGCCUCUGAGCCCAAGCUAAGUCAUCAUAUCCCCUGUGACCUGCACGUAUACAUCCAGAUGCCCCAAAGUAACUGAAGAAUCACAAAAGAAGUGAACAUGGCCUGUUCCUGACUUAACUGGUGACAUUACCUUGUGAAAUUCCUUUUCCUGGCUCAUCCUGGCUCAAAAGCUCACCCACUGAGCACCUUGUGACCCCCACCCCUGCCCGCCAGAGAACAACCCCCUUUGACUGUAAUU